rnacentral:rRNA from 1 species
GACGAACGCUGGCGGCGUGCUUAACACAUGCAAGUCGAACGGAAAGGCCCUGCUUUUGUGGGGUGCUCGAGUGGCGAACGGGUGAGUAACACGUGAGUAACCUGCCCUUGACUUUGGGAUAACUUCAGGAAACUGGGGCUAAUACCGGAUAGGAGCUCCUGCUGCAUGGUGGGGGUUGGAAAGUUUCGGCGGUUGGGGAUGGACUCGCGGCUUAUCAGCUUGUUGGUGGGGUAGUGGCUUACCAAGGCUUUGACGGGUAGCCGGCCUGAGAGGGUGACCGGCCACAUUGGGACUGGGAUACGGCCCAGACUCCUACGGGAGGCAGCAGGGGGGAAUAUUGCACAAUGGGCGGAAGCCUUAUGCAGGAACGCCGCGUGCGGGAUGACGGCCUUCGGGUUGUAAACCGCUUUCGCCUGUGACGAAGCGUGAGUGACGGUAAUGGGUAAAGAAGCACCGGCUAACUACGUG